ACCUCCAUAGCUCAGUUGCUUAGAGCGUGAUGCUGGAAACGUCAAUGUUGCAGGUUCAAUCCCCGUAUGGGGCA